AUUGAACGCUGGCGGCAGGCCUAACACAUGCAAGUCGAACGAGUGGCGGACGGGUGAGUAAUGUCUGGGAAACUGCCUGAUGGAGGGGGAUAACUACUGGAAACGGUAGCUAAUACCGCAUACCAUCGGAUUUGCCCAGAUGGGAUUAGCUAGUAGGGGGGGUAAAGGCUCACAUAGGCGACGAUCCCUACCUGGUCUGAGAGGAUGACCAGCCACACGGGAACUGAGACACGGGCUAGACUCAUAUGGGAGGCAGAAGUGGGGAAUAGUGCACAAUGGGCUCAAGGCUGAUGCAGCCAUGCCGCGGGUAGGAAGAAGGCCUUCGGGUUGGAAAGUACUUUCAGCGGGGAGGCGUUACCCGCAGAAGAAGCACCGGCUAACUCCGUGCCAGCCGCCGCGGUAAUAC
rnacentral:rRNA from 1 species